rnacentral:rRNA from 1 species
GACGAACGCUGGCGGCGUGCCUAAUACAUGCAAGUAGAACGCUGAAGGAGGAGCUUGCUUCUCUGGAUGAGUUGCGAACGGGUGAGUAACGCGUAGGUAACCUGCCUGGUAGCGGGGGAUAACUAUUGGAAACGAUAGCUAAUACCGCAUAAUAGUAGAUGUCGCAUGACAUUUGCUUAAAAGGUGCAAUUGCAUCACUACCAGAUGGACCUGCGUUGUAUUAGCUAGUUGGUGGGGUAACGGCUCACCAAGGCAACGAUACAUAGCCGACCUGAGAGGGUGAUCGGCCACACUGGGACUGAGACACGGCCCAGACUCCUACGGGAGGCAGCAGUAGGGAAUCUUCGGCAAUGGACGGAAGUCUGACCGAGCAACGCCGCGUGAGUGAAGAAGGUUUUCGGAUCGUAAAGCUCUGUUGUAAGAGAAGAACGAGUGUGAGAGUGGAAAGUUCACACUGUGACGGUAUCUUACCAGAAAGGGACGGCUAACUACGUG